rnacentral:tRNA from 4 species
UUAGCUCAGCUGGGAGAGCGCCUGCUUUGCACGCAGGAGGUCAGCGGUUCGAUCCCGCUA